rnacentral:rRNA from 1 species
GUGGGGAAUUUUGGACAAUGGGCGCAAGCCUGAUCCAGCAAUGCCGCGUGCAGGAAGAAGGCCUUCGGGUUGUAAACUGCUUUUGUACGGAACGAAACGGUCCUGGCUAAUACCUGGGGCUAAUGACGGUACCGUAAGAAUAAGCACCGGCUAACUACGUGCCAGCAGCCGCGGUAAUACGUAGGGUGCGAGCGUUAAUCGGAAUUACUGGGCGUAAAGCGUGCGCAGGCGGUGCUGUAAGACAGGCGUGAAAUCCCCGGGCUCAACCUGGGAAUUGCGCUUGGGACUGCAGUGCUGGAGUGCGGCAGAGGGGGAUGGAAUUCCGCGUGUAGCAGUGAAAUGCGUAGAUAUGCGGAGGAACACCGAUGGCGAAGGCAAUCCCCUGGGCCUGCACUGACGCUCAUGCACGAAAGCGUGGGGAGCAAACAGGAUUAGAAACCCUUGUAGUCC